GAGGUCUUAGCUUAAUUAAAGUGUCUGGGUUGCAUUCAGAGUAUAUGAGAUAGAGUCUUAUAGAUCUUA
rnacentral:tRNA from 1 species